GAUGUUUGCUUAGUUGCCUGUUCCCUUUUCUACCUGCAGAGCACGGUUCCCAUAAGGGCAGCGGGAUCAGCCUCCUGUCUCAUCUGGAAGACCACCACUCUGGGGUCUCAGAGGAAUGAUGGAAGCCUUGGGGUUUCUAAAAUUGGAAGUGAAUGGCCCCAUGGUGACGGUGGCCCUGUCAGUGGCUCUCUUGGCCCUCCUGAAGUGGUACUAUCUUGGUCGUCGGAUGUUUAUUGUUGUUUCUGAGCCAGACAUGAUCAAGCAGGUGUUGGUUGAGAACUUCAGUAACUUUACCAACAGAAUGGCGUCGGGUUUGGAGUUCAAGUCGGUAGCCGACAGCAUUCUGUUUUUACGUGACAAAAGAUGGGAGGAAGUCAGAGGUGCCCUGAUGUCUGCUUUCAGUCCUGAAAAGCUGAACGAGAUGGUUCCCCUCAUCAGCCAAGCCUGCGACCUUCUCCUGGCUCAUUUAAAACGCUAUGCGGAAUCUGGGGACGCAUUUGACAUCCAGAGGUGCUACUGCAAUUACACCACAGAUGUGGUUGCCAGCCUUGCCUUUGGCACCCCGGUGGACUCCUGGCAGGCCCCUGAGGAUCCCUUUGUGAAACACUGCAAGCGUUUCUUCGAAUUCUGCAUCCCGAGACCUAUCCUGGUUUUACUCUUAUCAUUUCCAUCCAUAAUGGUCCCACUGGCCCGGAUUUUGCCCAAUAAGAACCGAGAUGAACUGAAUGGCUUUUUUAACGAACUCAUUAGGAAUGUGAUUGCCUUGCGGGACCAGCAAGCUGCCGAAGAGAGGCGGAGAGACUUCCUCCAAAUGGUCCUGGAUGCCCGACAUUCUGCAAGUCCCAUGGGCGUGCAAGACUUUGACAUCGUCAGAGACGUUUUCUCCUCUACUGGGUGCAAGCCGAACCCUCCCCGGCAACACCAGCCCAGACCCAUGGCCAGGCCUUUGACUGUGGAUGAGAUUGUGGGCCAGGCCUUCAUCUUCCUCAUCGCUGGCUAUGAAAUCGUCACCAACACACUUUCUUUUGCCACCUACCUACUGGCCACCAACCCUGACUGCCAAGAGAAGCUUCUGAGAGAGGUGGACCUUUUUAAGGAGAAACACAUGGCCCCUGAGUUCUGCAGCCUCGAGGAAGGCCUGCCCUAUCUGGACAUGGUGAUUGCAGAGACGCUGAGGAUGUACCCACCAGCUUUCAGAUUCACACGGGAGGCGGCUCAAGACUGCGAGGUGCUGGGGCAGCACAUCCCCGCAGGCGCUGUGCUAGAGAUGGCUGUGGGUGCCCUGCACCAUGACCCUGAGCACUGGCCAAGCCCGCAGACCUUCAACCCUGAAAGGUCCAAACUGAAUCCAGAGAUUUAGCAUUUCAGCAGCCCUGCAUGCAAGGAACAAGGCAAUUUCAAAUGAUUGUCUUCCAUUCAUUCAAGCCAGGACAUGGGAUACAGGAUUGUAUUUCAGGUCUGCACUGGAAAGUAACAGAACAUCAUUUCCUUUUUAAAAAACGGGCAUCUAUGCCAAAACAGCAGCUUCAGCUAAUGUCUCCAUGAAUCUAAAUUCAUGUGAUCCGCUGGUUGACCUGGGUCCCCUCCUUCUACCACCUGGCUUUGGUUCAUUGUCUCCUUUCAUUUCUGGGCUCCGUGAUUGGAGACAUCUGAGAAGGCGGCCCACACUGUGGUCCUCAUCAGAACCAGUCAAUAUCCCGUGUGUGUGUGAUCUGGCAAGGGAAGGGCUGGCCCGGCACCAGU
rnacentral:sRNA from 1 species